rnacentral:rRNA from 1 species
UUAACACAUGCAAGUCGAGGGGCAUCAGGAAGAAAGCUUGCUUUCUUUGCUGGCGACCGGCGCACGGGUGAGUAACACGUAUCCAACCUGCCCCUUACUCGGGGAUAGCCUUUCGAAAGAAAGAUUAAUACCCGAUAGCAUAAUGAUUCCGCAUGGUUUCAUUAUUAAAGGAUUCCGGUAAAGGAUGGGGAUGCGUUCCAUUAGGUUGUUGGUGAGGUAACGGCCCACCAAGCCUUCGAUGGAUAGGGGUUCUGAGAGGAGGGUCCCCCACAUUGGAACUGAGACACGGUCCAAACUCCUACGGGAGGCAGCAGUGAGGAAUAUUGGUCAAUGGGCGCUAGCCUGAACCAGCCAAGUAGCGUGAAGGAUGAAGGCUCUAUGGGUCGUAAACUUCUUUUAUAUAAGAAUAAAGUGCAGUAUGUAUACUGUUUUGUAUGUAUUAUAUGAAUAAGGAUCGGCUAACUCCGUGCCAGCAGCCGCGGUAAUACGGAGGAUCCGAGCGUUAUCCGGAUUUAUUGGGUUUAAAGGGAGCGUAGGUGGACUGGUAAGUCAGUUGUGAAAGUUUGCGGCUCAACCGUAAAAUUGCAGUUGAUACUGUCAGUCUUGAGUACAGUAGAGGUGGGCGGAAUUCGUGGUGUAGCGGUGAAAUGCUUAGAUAUCACGAAGAACUCCGAUUGCGAAGGCAGCUCACUGGACUGCAACUGACACUGAUGCUCGAAAGUGUGGGUAUCAAACAGGAUUAGAUACCCUGGUAGUCCACACAGUAAACGAUGAAUACUCGCUGUUUGCGAUAUACAGUAAGCGGCCAAGCGAAAGCAUUAAGUAUUCCACCUGGGGAGUACGCCGGCAACGGUGAAACUCAAAGGAAUUGACGGGGGCCCGCACAAGCGGAGGAACAUGUGGUUUAAUUCGAUGAUACGCGAGGAACCUUACCCGGGCUUAAAUUGCAGUGGAAUGAUGUGGAAACAUGUCAGUGAGCAAUCACCGCUGUGAAGGUGCUGCAUGGUUGUCGUCAGCUCGUGCCGUGAGGUGUCGGCUUAAGUGCCAUAACGAGCGCAACCCUUAUCUUUAGUUACUAACAGGUUAUGCUGAGGACUCUAGAGAGACUGCCGUCGUAAGAUGUGAGGAAGGUGGGGAUGACGUCAAAUCAGCACGGCCCUUACGUCCGGGGCUACACACGUGUUACAAUGGGGGGUACAGAAGGCAGCUAGCGGGUGACCGUAUGCUAAUCCCAAAAUCCUCUCUCAGUUCGGAUCGAAGUCUGCAACCCGACUUCGUGAAGCUGGAUUCGCUAGUAAUCGCGCAUCAGCCACGGCGCGGUGAAUACGUUCCCGGGCCUUGUACACACCGCCCGUCAAGCCAUGGGAGCCGGGGGUACCUGAAGUACGUAACCGCAAGGAUCGUCCUAGGGUAAAACUGGUGACUGGGGCUAAGUCGUA